rnacentral:rRNA from 1 species
GACGAACGCUGGCGGCGUGCCUAAUACAUGCAAGUUGAGCGCUGAAGGUUGGUACUUGUACCAACUGGAUGAGCAGCGAACGGGUGAGUAACGCGUGGGGAAUCUGCCUUUGAGCGGGGGACAACAUUUGGAAACGAAUGCUAAUACCGCAUAAAAACUUUAAACACAAGUUUUAAGUUUGAAAGAUGCACUUGCUUCACUCAAAGAUGAUCCCGCGUUGUAUUAGCUAGUUGGUGAGGUAAAGGCUCAACAAGGCGAUGAUACAUAACCGACCUGAGAGGGUGAUCGGCCAAAUUGGGACUGAGACACGGCCCAAACUCCUACGGGAGGCAGCAGUAGGGGAUCUUCGGCAAUGGACGAAAGUCUGACCGAGCAACGCCGCGGGAGUGAAGAAGGUUUUCGGAUCGUAAAACUCUGUUGGUAGAGAAGAACGUUAGUGAGAGUGGAAAGCUCAUCAAGUGACGGUAACUACCCAGAAAGGGACGGCUAACUACGUG